GAUGAACGCUGGCGGCGUGCCUAAUACAUGCAAGUCGAGCGAACGGACGAGAAGCUUGCUUCUCUGAUGUUAGCGGCGGACGGGUGAGUAACACGUGGAUAACCUACCUAUAAGACUGGGAUAACUUCGGGAAACCGGAGCUAAUACCGGAUAAUAUUUUGAACCGCAUGGUUCAAAAGUGAAAGACGGUCUUGCUGUCACUUAUAGAUGGAUCCGCGCUGCAUUAGCUAGUUGGUAAGGUAACGGCUUACCAAGGCAACGAUGCAUAGCCGACCUGAGAGGGUGAUCGGCCACACUGGAACUGAGACACGGUCCAGACUCCUACGGGAGGCAGCAGUAGGGAAUCUUCCGCAAUGGGCGAAAGCCUGACGGAGCAACGCCGCGUGAGUGAUGAAGGUCUUCGGAUCGUAAAACUCUGUUAUUAGGGAAGAACAUAUGUGUAAGUAACUGUGCACAUCUUGACGGUACCUAAUCAGAAAGCCACGGCUAACUACGUGCCAGCAGCCGCGGUAAUACGUAGGUGGCAAGCGUUAUCCGGAAUUAUUGGGCGUAAAGCGCGCGUAGGCGGUUUUUUAAGUCUGAUGUGAAAGCCCACGGCUCAACCGUGGAGGGUCAUUGGAAACUGGAAAACUUGAGUGCAGAAGAGGAAAGUGGAAUUCCAUGUGUAGCGGUGAAAUGCGCAGAGAUAUGGAGGAACACCAGUGGCGAAGGCGACUUUCUGGUCUGUAACUGACGCUGAUGUGCGAAAGCGUGGGGAUCAAACGAGGAUUAGAUACCCUGGUAGUCCACGCCGUAAACGAUGAGUGCUAAGUGUUAGGGGGUUUCCGCCCCUUAGUGCUGCAGCUAACGCAUUAAGCACUCCGCCUGGGGAGUACGACCGCGAGGCUGAAACUCAAAGGAAUUGACGGGGACCCGCACAAGCGGUGGAGCAUGUGGUUUAAUUCGAAGCAACGCGAAGAACCUUACCAAAUCUUGACAUCCUUUGACAACUCUAGAGAUAGAGCCUUCCCCUUCGGGGGACAAAGUGACAGGUGGUGCAUGGUUGUCGUCAGCUCGUGUCGUGAGAUGUUGGGUUAAGUCCCGCAACGAGCGCAACCCUUAAGCUUAGUUGCCAUCAUUAAGUUGGGCACUCUAAGUUGACUGCCGGUGACAAACCGGAGGAAGGUGGGGAUGACGUCAAAUCAUCAUGCCCCUUAUGAUUUGGGCUACACACGUGCUACAAUGGACAAUACAAAGGGCAGCGAAACCGCGAGGUCAAGCAAAUCCCAUAAAGUUGUUCUCAGUUCGGAUUGUAGUCUGCAACUCGACUACAUGAAGCUGGAAUCGCUAGUAAUCGUAGAUCAGCAUGCUACGGUGAAUACGUUCCCGGGUCU
rnacentral:rRNA from 1 species